rnacentral:lncRNA from 1 species
AAAAACAUAUUCACCAAGUUUUAUUUUGAUAUGAAAACUAAUAAAGAAGAAAAUUGGGAAUUAUUAAUUUUAUUUCUUCAAACUUACUGACUUAUGUGACGUAGUUUAAGUCUUUUUGCAUGCCGGGAGUGAAAUUAAUAUCAUUUAAGUCUUGUACGUUAACCAUCUAAUAACGCUAUUUAAAGCGCAUCGACGACUUUUGGUGUAGCUAUUAACCAACGAAAAGUAAGUGAUAGCCAUGCAACUUUUAAAAUUAGAGUGUAGGAUUUAUGUGUGGAUUUUUUUUAUACGAAUUUUAGUAAUUAAAGUAAAUAAUACAAUAGAACAUUUUUAUGAUUUUUUUCUACAAAUACUUUAAACAAACAUAUGAAACUGACAUGAUCGAUAGUGUAUUAAAAAAUACAUGUUUGUAUUCUGAACUUUUUGCUUCAUUCCAGCAAACAUUUUCACUUGCUUGUACUGUGGAAAUAAAAUGUGUAUUAAUUUGUGACACUUAGUGAAUGUUGAAUGCGUAGUUAAACUCAAGGUAAUUAAAAGAUUAGCAUUAUGUAAUUCUUAUCUUUUGAUCUUCAUUCAGUGACAUCUAGGCGUCACGGUUCACCAUUUCAGGUGUGAACAACAUUUCGUAUGAAUGAUAUACGGGAGUCAGUUAUAGUUUUAGACACAGAAAUGUAAGAAAAAGAAUUAAAAUUAAUUUACGGGAGUAAUAAGGUCGCAC